CCAGCUACUAGGGAGGCUGAGAUGGGAGAAUCACUUGAACCCAGAAGGCCUCUCACGCCAUUGCAUUCCAGCCUGGGCGACAGAGCAAGACUCCGUCUCAAAAAAAAAAAAAAAGUUCUGUCUUGUGGGAGAUUUAAGUUUUUGUGGUGAAAUUAAAAUUCAUACCAUAAAUACAAACCUGGAAAGGAGUGAAUACAAUGAGGCGAACCCACUGGGCGGUUACACAGUGGCCCACAGCUGUAGUCCCCACUACUCAGAAGGCUGAGGCAGGAGGACGGCUGGAGCCCAGGAGUUCAAGACCCACAUGGGCAACAUAGUGAGAUGGAGCAGGGACCCCUCCUAGGUGCCUGCCAGGCUCUCCCAAGCUUGGAAAUCAAGGAACACUCUUGAAUCCCUUCAAGGGAAAUUCCAGUCACCUUGCCAGCCUUGAAAGGUAAGUGAGCAGCCUGCCAGGAAGGCGACGGGAGCACGGGUCUCCCAAGCAGGCCACAGCCACAGGUGGUUUGCUUCCCUAUAGAAACUAAAGCAUAACAUACAUUCUCAAGUCUUUCAGAAACCCCCACCCGGUGGAAAAUGCCGACUGCUAUCACAGAGACCCAGAUAAGGGGGAACUGAGGACUGAACUCUGGCCGUGUUCUCUGUCAUGAAUUUCUUCUUGAGGGGCCUGGAGGGAGUCACAGCUGUGAGCCACUAAUGUGUGCCCCCAUGCACACAGCACCCUUGGCAUAACUAACUCCAUCUUAGAGACUCCAUUGUAUAUCUUACAGGGCACUUGGCCAACAAAGGUAAGAUGUUUUGCUUAAUAAACAAGUUAAAAAUAAAGCCUGCAUCCAAACAGAUGAGGACGCAAGCAAGCGCACUCUUCAGAUGUCACUUCUCACGGGAGGCCUCUGUGAUUGCAGAAGGAAAGGCCCCAGCAGAACUCACCAUCUGCCGCCUGAGGCUCCACCACCUCGAAGACAUCCUUGCAAGAUCCACAGACUGGCCCAGACCAGGAGGUUUCUGUCUUCUUCUUGUGUCUUCUUCACUCUCCUGGACUGGUUCGUGAACCCUUUCUCCUAUCUCUGUUUCCUCUGGAUGUUAAGUGCUACUUUCUUUGUUGUGGAACGUUAACCUGUAACAUGUAUAUACUGAUUAAGUACACUAUUACGUUGUCGUGUGCAAUAUUGGCUGACAUGUGCAGUGGCUUGAGCCCGUGUGACCGCAGCUCUCACUACUGAGGGAAAGGAGCACUAAGCAGCAUGCCUCCUUGGGAACGCCGUGUGGCUCGUGGCUUUAGGGAUUGAAAUAGCCUCAAUAAAAUUCUGACAUUGUGAAAGACACAGGCAUGCUUGGAUGUGAUUAUCUCUAACUUUGCACUGCUCAUGACACCCCAUGUAUUGGUUAAUGAUUUUGCCUGCAACUUCUGCUUUCCUGAAAUGUACCCAUACCCCUAAAAACCCCAGCUUGUAAGCCACUGGGGAGUUUGGGUCUUAAGCGUGAGCUGUCCGUUCUCCUUGCUUGGUACCGUGCAAUAAAUAUCAUCUUUCCCCUGCUGCAAAUUGCAACA
rnacentral:lncRNA from 10 species